rnacentral:rRNA from 1 species
AUGUCAGACCACUCUGACUCCAAUGAUUCCCAUGAGCUUAACAACUUAGAUGAUAGCCUAGACGAUUACAUUGCCGAGCAAGAUAUCAUAGAUUCCUUCGCUCGGAUGUUUGCAAACAAGUUUAAGGCCAGACUCGCAGCUCUGCGUGCUGGAUUAUCUUGUCGCCGAAGUGGUACCAGAAGGUACAUACGGAGGAAUCGUGAGGAGGCCCAUAAUCUGCUUGUGGCUGACUACUUCGCUGAAAUUCCAACCUACAGCGAUACAAUGUUCAGGAGAAGGUUUCAGAUGAGAAGAUCUGUCUUCUUGCGUAUUGUGAGUGCCUUCUCAGAGUGGUCUCCCUUUUUCACUCAAAGGGUAGACUGCACUUCUAGGAAAGGGCUCUCACCACUGCAGAAAUGCACGGCGGCUAUUCGUAUGAUGGCAUACGGUACCCCUGCUGAUGAACUGGAUGAUUACCUGAAGAUUGGUGAGAGCACUGCAUUGAAGUGUUUGAAGGAUUUCGCAAAAGGGGUGAUCGCCAACUUUGCUGGGCGUUACUUGCGACGCCCCACUUGUGAGGAUGUGGAGCGCUUGCUGCAAGUCGGCGAGUCUCGAGGCUUUCCUGGCAUGUUGGGAGCCUAG